rnacentral:misc_RNA from 1 species
AUCGAGGAACACGACUUCCAAACGAAACUUCGCAAUGUGAUCAAAUUUUUGAAAGAUGGCGACAAGGUUAAGUGCUCGGUUCGCUUCCGCGGACGGGAAAUUACCCAUGCCGACAUCGGGAAGAAAAUUCUCGACCGCGUCAAAGAUGAGGUUGCGGAAAUCUCGAAUGUUGAACGAGUUCCGAAACUGGAAGGACGCAGUAUGAUCAUGAUCCUGGCACCGAAAAACUAAUCGUUUGUUUUCUAUAUAUGAUCGUUCCGAAUGCGGAAUGACCUGAAAGAGAAAACGGGCGUUCACAAACUUUGAGGGGGAAGUACAAUGCCUA